GACGUAGGGGGCGAGCGUUGUCCGGAUUUAUUGGGCGUAAAGGGUUCCUAGGCGGCUGACAAAGUCGGGUGUGAAACCUCCAGGCUCAACCUGGAGACGCCACUCGAUACUGGUCUAGCUAGAGUCCGGUAGGGGCGAACGGAAUACCCGGUGUAGCGGUGAAAUGCUUAGAUAUCGGGUGGAACACCAGUGGCGAAGGCAGCUCGCUGGGACGGUACUGACGCUGAGGCGCGAAAGCUAGGGGAGCAAACGGG
rnacentral:rRNA from 1 species